rnacentral:rRNA from 1 species
GUUGAACGCUGGCGGCAGGCCUAACACAUGCAAGUCGGGCGGAUGACGGGAGCUUGCUCCUUGAUUCAGCGGCGGACGGGUGAGUAAUGCCUAGGAAUCUGCCUGGUAGUGGGGGACAACGUUUCGAAAGGAACGCUAAUACCGCAUACGUCCUACGGGAGAAAGCAGGGGACUUUCGGGCCUUGCGCUAUCAGAUGAGCCUAGGUCGGAUUAGCUAGUAGGUGAGGUAAUGGCUCACCUAGGCGACGAUCCGUAACUGGUCUGAGAGGAUGAUCAGUCACACUGGAACUGAGACACGGUCCAGACUCCUACGGGAGGCAGCAGUGGGGAAUCUUGGACAAUGGGGGCAACCCUGAUCCAGCGAUGCCGCGUGGGUGAAGAAGGCCUUCGGGUUGUAAAGCCCUUUAGGUUGGGAAGAAGUUUGGUGGGGGAAUAUCCCAUCAGAUUGACGGUACCGACAGAAUAAGCACCGGCAAACUCUGUGCCAGCAGCCGCCGUAACAC